CUGGUUGAUCCUGCCAGAAUCAUAUGCUUGCUCCGAAGACUAAGCCAUGCAUGUCAAGACACCAUGAAGGGCCCCCCCGGGCUCGCCUCGGGGGUGUUGCUCAGUGGAAUCUGCGAACGGCUCCGUACAACUGCUAUAAUCCUGCCGUGGGGUGAGACCCGGAUAAGCAGCGGUAAACCUGCGCCUAAAACGUAGAGGGGACCGCGGGCCCUUCGUGGGCUCGCGGGGCCCCAACCUCAAAGUACCCAAUGCCGCGCCAGCGAGCGGGGAAACGGGGGCCUCCACGUACUUGGAAUGCAGCCAGCCCGCCUCCCCUCUGCGGGGGAGGGGGGCUCGGCCUGGGGUUACGACCCCAGUGCCCUGCACUCUAGCCCAGGAACGCUGAAAGGAGUCAAACCGAAGGCACAGUAAGGCCCCCGCAAGGGGCAGGCCGAUGGGCACGAUGGGUUUCAGGCCUAUCAACCCGCUGGUAGGGUAUUGGCCUACCAGGGUUGCAACGGGUACAGAGGAUUAGGGUUUGAUCCUGGAGAGGUGGCCCGAGAAAUUGCCACCACUGCUACGGCAGGCAGCAGGCGCGCAACGUUCCCAAUGUUAUCACAUGAGGACGUGAGGGGGCGUAACAACGCCCCGCAUAACGCGGGGCGAUUGAAAUGGGGCGGGCUUAAACACCCCGCCGAGUAGCAAUUGGAGGACAAGUCUGGUGCCAGCACCCGCGGUAAUUCCAGCUCCAAUAGUGUAUAAUUGAGCUGCUGCGCUUAAAGCGCUCGUAGUCCCAAUUUGGACUACCCCACCCAUCCCCGCCUAGGUCAAUUGCUGCGCUGUUUGCCUAGGCAGCUCUGGGCGGGGAGGUGGUCAACCGCUCUGAGUGAGUGCUGCU
rnacentral:rRNA from 1 species